rnacentral:rRNA from 1 species
UACGGAGGGUGCAAGCGUUAUCCGGAUUCACUGGGUUUAAAGGGUGCGUAGGUGGGCAGGUAAGUCAGUGGUGAAAUCUCCGGGCUUAACUCGGAAACUGCCGUUGAUACUAUCUGUCUUGAAUAUCGUGGAGGUUAGCGGAAUAUGUCAUGUAGCGGUGAAAUGCUUAGAUAUGACAUAGAACACCGAUUGCGAAGGCAGCUAACUACACGAUCAUUGACACUGAGGCACAAAAGCGUGGGGAGCAAACAGG